rnacentral:rRNA from 1 species
GACGAACGCUGGCGGCGUGCCUAAUACAUGCAAGUCGAGCGAAGUUUUUCUGGUGCUUGCACUAGAAAAACUUAGCGGCGAACGGGUGAGUAACACGUAAAGAACCUGCCUCAUAGACUGGGACAACUAUUGGAAACGAUAGCUAAUACCGGAUAACAGUAUUUCUCGCAUGAGAGAUAUUUAAAAGUUGGUUAUGCUAACACUAUGAGAUGGCUUUGCGGUGCAUUAGCUAGUUGGUGGGGUAAAGGCCCACCAAGGCGACGAUGCAUAGCCGACCUGAGAGGGUGAUCGGCCACACUGGGACUGAGACACGGCCCAGACUCCUACGGGAGGCAGCAGUAGGGAAUCUUCCGCAAUGGGCGAAAGCCUGACGGAGCAAUGCCGCGUGAGUGAAGAAGGAUUUCGGUUCGUAAAGCUCUGUUGUUAGGGAAGAAUGGAUAUGUAGUAACUAUACAUGUAAGAGACGGUACCUAACCAGAAAGCCACGGCUAACUACGUG